AUGGCAAAAAAAAAUUAAAUCACCUCAAACAAUUUAGUACCCUUAGUUAAAAGUUGAGUACCUUGGGUUAAGAUGUGGGGCCCACCCAAAUUUUUUUCUUCUUCCUCCCCUUUUCUAAAUCAAACCCAAACAUUUCUCAUUCUCCAUUGAAGCGCACCCAACAUUCUCCAUUAAAGCGCACUCAACGUUCUCCAUUAAAGCAGUUUCUGAGGGUUCUCCUAAGCUCCACAACAUCCUCUAUUUCUCGGCUUUCGAUUGAUCAUCCUCCACCGUCGUGUAGGUGAAAUAAUGAGUUUUGAUGACUUGUAAGUGUUUGAUUGGUGAAAUUAGAGUAAAAAAUUAGAAUUUUAUUGAUUUUGAAACGCCCAAAAAUGCUUGAUUAGGAUUUUGCUGAACAAAAUUGAUGAACGGCGAUGGCGCGGAUGGUGAAGGAAAGAAGAAGAUUGUGGGUUUUGAGGAUUUGAGAUGCGUGGGUUAUUGAUUAUGCUUCUUUUUUAUUUCUUUGUCAAAAAAAUACAAGGCUACUGUAAGUCUGUUAUAAAGAUUGCUACAAUCUCUAUUGAAAAUCAAGUAUUGCUUUGGCCUCUUCUUCUUUUUUUUUUUUUUUUCAUACAAUCUCUAUUGAAAAUCAUCAAUCUGGGCUGAGUUUCUGAUUUUGCAAUUCUUCAAAUGUAGAUGGAUAACAGAGGACUGAAUCACACACUAGAUGAAGCAGCAUUUUUUUUCAAUUUUGGACAAAUCAUGGAUGAUGAAACAGUUGAAUUAAUUAAUGUUUUUUUUAAUUUUAAUUUAAUUAGUUUUUUAAUUAUGUAUGGUUUAUGGUGAGUUAAGGGUGAGUUAGUUGGCCUGAAAAGGUGAAAAAAAUCAAGAAUUGAGGGCCUAAUUGUUGACUUAACUCAAACUAUUGGGGAAGGUAGAUUACAAUUUUCAUAGUACAACCUAUACAAUAGUUAUAAAUCUACAGAUAAGCAUGUUUUUUUUUUUUUUUUUUUU